UGGGGAAUUUUGGACAAUGGGCGAAAGCCUGAUCCAGCAAUGCCGCGUGUGUGAAGAAGGCCUUCGGGUUGUAAAGCACUUUUGUCCGGAAAGAAAUCCUUGGCUCUAAUACAGUCGGGGGAUGACGGUACCGGAAGAAUAAGCACCGGCUAACUACGUGCCAGCAGCCGCGGUAAUACGUAGGGUGCAAGCGUUAAUCGGAAUUACUGGGCGUAAAGCGUGCGCAGGCGGUUUGCUAAGACCGAUGUGAAGUCCCCGGGCUCAACCUGGGAACUGCAUUGGUGACUGGCAGGCUAGAGUAUGGCAGAGGGGGGUAGAAUUCCACGUGUAGCAGUGAAAUGCGUAGAGAUGUGGAGGAAUACCGAUGGCGAAGGCAGCCCCCUGGGCCAAAUACUGACGCUCAUGCACGAAAAGCGUGGGGAGCAAAACAGGAUUAGAUACCCUGGUAGUCCACGCCCUAAAACGAUGUCAACUAGUUGUUGGGGAUUCAUUUCCUUAGUAACGUAGCUAACGCGUGAAGUUGACCGCCUGGGGAGUACGGUCGCAAGAUUAAAACUUAAAUGAAUUGACGGGGUCAUAGCUGUUUCCU
rnacentral:rRNA from 1 species